rnacentral:rRNA from 1 species
UACCAGCACCCCGAGUGGUCGGGACGUUUAUUGGGCCUAAAGCAUCCGUAGCCGGUUCUACAAGUCUUCCGUUAAAUCCACCUGCUUAACAGACGUAGGCGUGCGGAAGAUACUAUAGAGCUAGGAGGCGGGAGAGGCAAGCGGUACUCGAUGGGUAGGGGUAAAAUCCGUUGAUCCAUUGAAGACCACCAGUGGCGAAGGCGGCUUGCCAGAACGCGCUCGACGGUGAGGGAUGAAAGCUGGGGGAGCAAACCGG